rnacentral:SRP_RNA from 1 species
GCUGGGCGUGGUGGUGCACGCCUGUAAUCCUAGCUACUCAGGAGGCUGAGACAGGAGAAUUGCUUGAAUCCGGGAGGCAGAGGUUGUAGUGAGCCAAGAUCGUGCCACUGCACUCCAGCCUGGGUGACAGAGCAAGACUCCGUCUCAA